rnacentral:rRNA from 1 species
UACGUAGGUGGCGAGCGUUGUCCGGAUUUAUUGGGCGUAAAGCGCGCGCAGGCGGUACGGCAAGUCCUGUGUGAAAUCUCCCGGCUCAACCGGGAGGGUGCGGAGGAGACUGUCGAACUGGAGGGACCGAGAGGCCGGUGAAAUUCCCGGUGUAGUGGUGAAAUGCGUAGAGAUCGGGAGGAACACCCGUGGCGAAGGCGGCCGGCUGGGGGUUACCUGACGCUGAGGCGCGAAAGCGUGGGGAGCGAACCGG